GAUAAACGCUGGCGGCGUGCCUAAUGCAUGCAAGUCGCACGGAGUGUCCUUUCGGGGGCAUUGAGUGGCGAACGGGUGAGGAACGCGUGGAGAACCUACCCCGGCGUGGGGGAUACCCGCCAGAAAUGGCGGCUAAUACCGCGUACGGUUCCCUGGCGAGAGGCUGGGGAAAGAAAGCAGUGAUGCGCGCUGGGAGGGGUCUGCGCCCGAUUAGCUAGUUGGUGGGGUAACGGCUCACCAAGGCGGUGAUCGGUAGCUGGUCUGAGAGGAUGAUCAG
rnacentral:rRNA from 1 species